rnacentral:sRNA from 1 species
UCACUAAGAUUCGUUCUCAGCGUCCGC